CACCCUUCUGCUUUGCAGAAUCCCUAACAAGGAGCCACAAGUAGGCUGCUGGUGUCCUGGGACUAAAUGCUCCCUGAUAAACAGGAUUUCCUGAAAGCUCUACAGAGGUUUUCAUGUUAUUUCUGAGACUGCUGAAGAGGAAAUGAAACUUCAAGCACACCAAUCUGAGCUUUGUUCCUUGUACUGAGCAGUGUCAGAAGUGGGGUACCAAGCUGGGGCCAGGACCACAAAGGAAGUCUGGCCUGUCCCACCUGGAUGUGCCCUUGUCAUUAGAAAAAGUCCCUCAGAUUCCUCCAGUCAUGGAUGAAAAUCACACCCACCUGUACCUGGGGCAGGAGUAAAUUUUUCUUUUUCUGCUGAAAGUCACAAUGACCCAAUGGACAUGGGAGCUGUUGAUCCACAUUUCAGGGAGUGCCAGCAGAAGAAGCUUUUGGGAAACCUGAUGCAACUUUCCAGGUUCAGCAACAAAAGACAAGUCCGAUAUAAUUUUUGUCACAAAAACUUCCUUUAACCAUUGUCAUUAUUCUCUAUUUAAUUGCUAUUUUUGGCAUUGAUUAUUGAACUUCAGUAAGGUUACUAAUUACAAUGUUCUAAUCCAAAACCCCUUUCGAUGAGGAGUUAUCUGAAUGUCUCCUCUC